GACGAACGCUGGCGGCGUGCCUAAUACAUGCAAGUAGGACGCAGUUGCGAACGUGUGAGUAACGCGUAGGUAACUGCCUAUUAGAGGGGGAUAACUAUUGGAAACGAUAGCUAAUACCGCAUACUAGUAGAUGGACCUGCGUUGUUUUGGGUAGUAGGUAGGGUAAUGGCCUACCUAGGCGACGAUACAUAGCCGACCGGGGGGGGUGAUCGGGCACACUGGGACUGAGACAAGGGCCAGACCUCUUCCGGAGGGAGCAGUAGGGAAUCUUCGGAAAUGGGGGGAAAGCUGAACGAGCAACGCCGCGGGAGUGAAGAAGGUUUUCGGGUCGUAAAGCUCUGUUGAUAAGGAAGCGGUACUUAACCAGAAAGGGACGGCUAACUACGUGCCAGCAGCCGCGGUAAUUC
rnacentral:rRNA from 1 species